GACGAACGCUGGCGGCGUGCCUAAUACAUGCAAGUCGAGCGAAUGGAUUAAGAGCUUGCUCUUAUGAAGUUAGCGGCGGACGGGUGAGUAACACGUGGGUAACCUGCCCAUAAGACUGGGAUAACUCCGGGAAACCGGGGCUAAUACCGGAUAACAUUUUGAACCGCAUGGUGCGAAAUUGGAAGGCGGCUUCGGCUGUCACUUAUGGAUGGACCCGCGUCGCAUUAGCUAGUUGGUGAGGUAACGGCUCACCAAGGCAACGAUGCGUAGCCGAACUGAGAGGGUGAACGGCCACACUGGGACUGAGACACGGCCCAGGCUCCUACGGGAGGCAGCAGUAGGGAAUCUUCCGCAAUGGGCGAAAGUCUGACGGAGCAACGCCGCGUGAGUGAUGAAGGCUUUCGGGUCGUAAAACUCUGUUGUUAGGGAAGAACAAGUGCUAGUUGAAUAAGCUGGCACCUUGACGGUACCUAACCAGAAAGCCACGGCUAACUACGUGCCAGCAGCCGCCGUAA
rnacentral:rRNA from 1 species